rnacentral:rRNA from 1 species
UACGUAGGGUGCGAGCGUUGUCCGGAAUUAUUGGGCGUAAAGAGCUCGUAGGCGGUGUGUCACGUCGGCCGUGAAAACCUGCAGCUUAACUGUGGGCGUGCGGUCGAUACGGGCAUCACUGGAGUUCGGCAGGGGAGACUGGAAUUCCUGGUGUAGCGGUGGAAUGCGCAGAUAUCAGGAGGAACACCAAUAGCGAAGGCAGCUCGCUGGGACGUUACUGACACUGAGAUGCGAAAGCGUGGGGAGCAAACAGG